CCUGAGAGGCGUGGUUUUCUGCUGAAGGGCUGGUGCUCGGGGUGAUUUAGCGCUGGGAGGAGCGGGGGGUCCUGGGGAUGCUGAGCCGAGGAUGGGGAUCACAGGCACCGGCUCUCCUUCCCCUAUCGCCGGCUACUCGGACUGCCGCAGGGCGGCCACAGCGACCAUAGCACUGAGACAGCUCUGAGGGAAAAGAGACAGCCAGACCUGAGACAGCUCUGAGGGAAAAGAGACAGCCAGACCUGAGACAGCUCUGAGGGAAAAGAGACAGCCAGACCUGAGAGUGCUCUGAGGAAAAAAGAGACAGACAGAGACAGCUCUGAGGAAAAAGAGACAGACAGAGACUGCUGUGAGGGAAAAGAGACAGCCAGACCUGAGAGUGCUCUGAGGGAAAAGAGACAGCCAGAGCAGAGAGUGCUGUGAGGGAAAAGAGACAGAGCAGAGACUGUUGUGAGGGAAAAGAGACAACCAGAGCAGAGAGUGCUCUAAGGAAAAAAAGAGACAGACAGAGCACAGAGUGCUGUGAGGAGAAAAGAGACAGACAGAGCAGAGAGUGCUGUGAGGGAAAGGAGUGCCCUGAGAGGUGGAACGAGACCUCUGGGGACUGAGGGCAAGAGACACCUCUGAGAGACAUAAAACAACUGUGGGUGAGAGAUUAGACAGCUUUGCGGGAGAAGAGACAGCUGAAUGACCAAGGAGAGGCACCUAGGGACUUAGAGAAAAGAGACAGUCAGAGUCUGGAGGGAAAAGACAGCUAGUGAGUAGGGACAGCUCCUGGUGGGGAACUGGGACUGAGAGACAAGAGAGGUCUGGAAGCCAGUAGAGACAGCUCUGACUGAAGAGACAGAUCUGGCUGCUCGGAAACAUAAGGAUAGACUGCCAAGGCUCAUAGAGGAAAAGGAGACGUCUCUGACUGAGAAGGCAGGGAGAGAAAAGAGACACUUGGGUGAGGAGAGUGGAGAGCUUGAUGCUGAGGGAGAGGCACACAUUGACAGCUUGGGAGACAGCUUGUACUGACAGAAAAUUAGGGUGGGGAGAGAGGGGAGACAGCUAGGCACUGUAGGGAGGGUAGAAGAGACAUCCAAAAAAGGAGGGUAUAACAAGAGACUGUAAGUGUUUAG